rnacentral:rRNA from 1 species
UACAGAGGGUGCGAGCGUUAAUCGGAUUUACUGGGCGUAAAGCGUGCGUAGGCGGCUUUUUAAGUCGGAUGUGAAAUCCCCGAGCUUAACUUGGGAAUUGCAUUCGAUACUGGUUGGCUAGAGUAUGGGAGAGGAUGGUAGAAUUCCAGGUGUAGCGGUGAAAUGCGUAGAGAUCUGGAGGAAUACCGAUGGCGAAGGCAGCCAUCUGGCCUAAUACUGACACUGAGGUGCGAAAGCGUGGGGAGCAAACAGG